AUGAAUGGAGAAUCUGGUUUUGGGAGAAGUCUUUUCUCGAGAUUCAUUUUAUUGGGAUCCAGCAGAUAUUUGCUCAGAACACAAGAAAGAAUGCAUCCAUCUAUUUCUUCUUUUCCUAACAGAUAUUUCUAUGGAGGGCAAAUUUCAAAUGCCAUGGCCUACACCAAUACGAUCCUAAAGCUGAGAUUGCAGAGCUACAUAUUUUUCAACGUGAACACUGAGAAAACUCUUGAUGCCUUAUUACUUUUGAUCACUUACAUUAAUGAAGAUUGGAUAAAAGGGGGUCGAGAGUUGGAGCCGGAAGUCGGAGUGAUAUGUUCUACGCCAGAGCUUAAAGUACUGGGACAUCAUAGUCAAUUUAAUCUGACCGUUCAAUCAGCUGAUACAUUCCAAAACAAGAAUUAUGACAUCUUAAUCAUUGCAGCCCAUGAAGUGCCAAACAAUGGCAAGUACAUUAAUUAUAUGAUUACAAGAGCAAGGUAUGUAACAUCCAUUUUAGUUAAAUAUAUUUCAUCAACAGUUCAUUUCAGUAAAUAUAACAAUAAAUGUCUCUUAUCUAGGCACUACCUUUGGAUUGUUGGUGAUGCGACCGAACUUGCAGAAAACAUGAUAUGGAAAAAACUGAUGGAGGAUGCUAAAGACCGUGGUUGUUUCCAAGAGAUCUUCCCACGUUACCCGGGACAGUCUGCUAUCACCGACGAAUAUGGACAUCUUAGCACUUGGGAUAAUCCGAGUUCUACUCAUGGGCUUACUAGUUCAAAUGUAAGUUCUAACUAUUUGUUAAAAAGAGCUAGGUGUCAAUGUGGUUCACAACAUGGUUAUUGCACAAGUUGUCUUUGA
rnacentral:rRNA from 1 species